rnacentral:lncRNA from 1 species
AAAUGGGCAAAUGUGCCAAUGACUGAGAGUCAACUCUCCUUGGUGAGUGCCUCAGAACUUAGGAAAAGAGAACAGCGCAUGUCUCUCUCAUGAAGAUGACAGAGGACAAAAGCAAGCAGAAAUAUACAAGGAUUUGCGUACUCUAUUAUGAAUUUCUCUUUGAGAAAUAAUACCUGUGAGAAUGCUGCUCCUUCAAUUAGGUUCAGGAUUGGAGGAAAAAUCAUAUAAAAUAGUUGGUAAUCUUUCUUCUCUAGAAAGUGGCAACGAUAUAUAGUACUGUUGAACCAUGCCUGCCAGUGUCAAUUCCUGAAAUGGCAAAAGAAAAGGGAAGAAGAAAAGAUAAUGCUAUAAUGAUCAGCUCCCAAACCUCUACUUAAAGCAUAAAUGGAGAAAAGAAAGCUCGGUGUAGUGCUACGGAACACUAUUCGGCAUUAAGCAGAGUAAAUAGCUUAGUCAACAGUGUGGGCCAUUGUCAGUCUUUAUUUGUCAUCUCUCACUGAGUGAUCACAACUCAGCCUCUUAUGUGUCCUGGAAGUGUCCAAUCUCCAAGUUAACUAUUUAUUAAGAGGAGAUGCAUCUUAAAAGUAAUGCCUCAUAUUUAGGGGAAUUAUAUUAAAGAUAUCUCAUUUUGUCAACCCUGCUAUUCGUUCCAUCCUUUCCAUGUAACACUAAUAAGAGGACACUCUACUGCACUGGUGUCUCAUCUGUGAUGAUUCAAAUGUUCUGUUUUCUUCAUGAUACUGUGUUGUAGACAAAAUUAUAAAGCAAGUAAAUUUGUGGGAGUUUUGGCAAUCGUAGAAAGCCAGUAAAGAAAAAUUUUCUAAGCCAUUUGAAUUAUAACAAAUUACACACAUAUUAAAGCUACACAAAUAAAAUAACUUUAUUUGGGUAUUUGGAUUGCAGGCUCUUGAAAAAUUUCAAAUUUGUCAGUCUUCCAAGUUGCAUAAAAGGCAUAAAAGUCUUUUUUAUUUAAUGUAGUGCUAUAAUUCUCCAGCUGAUAGAAUCAAAGCGUAAUUGCCUAAAUGUAUUUUCUAGUCAGUGUUGAAUCUCUGCCUAAUUUUCACAAUUAUUAGCCCUAAAUGACAAUACCAGUUGAUACAGUCUCAGGGAAUCCAAGCUAAUUUUAAUGUUCAUUCAAGCAAGACAGAAUCAUGAAGGUAUUCUCUUGGGGAAAAAUUCCUAUUAAUACAUUAUAAAAGCAAAUUGUGAGCUCUAAUUGUCAUGAUUUUGAGUUUAGUGUGCAAUGCUGCUCUCCUCUAUUAGCAGAUGAUGAAAAACUUCAUUGAAAAUGAAUGUGCAUGUGUACUUCACCUGAAAAUAAAAACAAUGUGUGUGUUUCUGAAAGUAUAUUAAAAUUAUAUUAGAGAUGAUUAACAACAAAUUGGAACUUAGACAGCUCCCACAAAGUAAUAUCAUUGUAAUCAUAUCUAUUUUGUAAAGGUCCCCUUUGUAGAGAAUAAAACAAAUUAGGUGUGUGUUACAGGUUGAAUUAUGUUCUCUCCCAAAAUUCCUAUGUUGACGUUUUAACCCCAGGUACCUUAGAAUGUGAAACCUUGUUUAGAAAUAGUGCUUGUUGUUGAAGAUGUAUUUAGUUAAGUUAGGAUGAAGUCAUAUUAGAAUAAAGUGGCCCCCUAAUCCUAUAUGACCGGUGCACUUAUAAAAGGAGGAAAAUAUCCAUUCUUCAGUCCAUGGGUCAAGAAAUAAUUCUGCCUUUCAUAUCCUAUUACUUAAGAAAUACAUUUCUUAAUGCUAUAGCUGACAUAGAUAGUGAUUCCUCUUAUGGAUCUGGGUAAAGUACAUCAAAAACCUUCUGGAAAGGAUUCACCAUUCUAGGUGCCAUUAACAACACUCAUGAUUCAUGGUAGGAAGUCAAAAUAUGAACAUUAACAGAAGUUUGGGAGAAGCUGAUUCUAGUCCAUGUGGGUGAUUUUGAGGGGAUUAAAACUUCAGUGGAGGAAGUAACUGCAGAUGUGGUAGAAAUAGCAAGAGAACUAGAAUUAGAAGUGGAACCUGAAGAUGAGACUGAAUUGCUAUAAUCGCAUUAUAAAACUUGAAUGGAUGAGGGGCUGCUUCUUAUGUAUGAGCAAAACAAGUGAUUUCUUCAGAUGAAAUCUACCCUUGGUAAAGAUGUUGCAAACAUUGCUGAAGUGACAACAUAGAAUUUAAAAUAUUACAUAAAUUUACCUGAUAAAAUAGUGGCAGGGUGUGAGAGGACUGCCUCUAAUUUUGAAAGAAGUUUCUACUGUGGGUAAAAUGCUACCAAACAACAUCAUAUGCUAUAGAGAAAUCUUUUGUGAAAGGAAGAGUCAAUCAGUUGAUGCUGCAAGCCUCAUUGUUAUCUUAUUUUAAUAAAUUGCCAUAGCCACCUCAACUUUCAGCAAUUACCACCCUGAUCAGUCAGCAAUCAUCAAUAUAGAUGCAAGACUCUCCACUAGCAAGAUGAUUAUGACUCACUGAAGGCUCAGCUGAUUCUUAGCAUCUUAGUAAUAUUUUUUAAAUAAAGUAUAUACAUUUUUAGACAUACCGCCAUUACCCACUUAAUAGACUACAGCAUAGUGUAAAUAUAACUUUUAUAUACACUGGGAAACAAAAAUAUAUAACUUAUAUUUUGAUAUUUGCUUUAUCAGUAGUAUCUCCAAGAUAUGUCAGUGUGUGCAGUCAUGUGUCACUUAACAAGGGCGAUAUGUUCUGAGGAAUGUGUCAUUAGGGUAUUUUGUCAUUGUGGGAACAUCAUAGAGUAUAUCUACACAAACAUAGACAGCCUCUCCUACUACACACCUGGACUAUUUGGUAUUGCCCAUUGUGACUAGGCUGUAAACCUGUGCAGCUUGUUACUGUACUGAAUAGUGUAGGCAAUUGUAGCACAAUGGUAAAAUGGUAUUUGUACGUCUAAACACUUCUAGGCUAUCUCUCAGGGUUUUUUAAAAAUAGUUUUAGGUGUUACAUUUUAGCCUUUAAUCCAAGUUGAUUUCUGUAUAUGGUAUAAGGAAGAGGCCCAGUUUUAAUCUUUUGUGUAUGGCUAACCAGUUAUCCUAGCACUAUUUAUUGAAUAAGAAGUCCUCUUCUCAUUGCUUAUUUUGUCAACUUUUGUGAAACAUCACAUGGUUAUCAGUGUUGUGGCAUUAUUUCUGGGCUCCCUAGUCUGUUCCAUUGACCUGUGUGUCUGUUUUUGUACCUGUAUCAUGCUGUUUUGGUUAUUGUAACCUUAUAGUAUACUUUGAGGUUCAGUAACGUGAUGCCUGUAGCUUUGUUCUUUUUGCUUAGAAUUGUCUUGACUAUUUGGUCACUUUUUUAGUUCCAUAUGAAUUUUGAAAAAGUUUACACAGCCCUAAAAAGGAAUGAGACCAUACCCUUGGCAGCAACAUGGAUGAAGUUGUAGGCCACUAUCCUAAAUGAACUAACACAGGAACAGAAAACCCGAAUACCACAUGUUCUCACUUAUAAGUGGGAGCUAAACAUUGAGUGCACAUGGAUACAAAGAAGAUGACAACAGACACCAGGGCCUACUUGAGAGUCAGGGGUGGGAGGAGGGAGAGGGUUGAAAACUACCUAAUGGGCACUAUGCUUAUUAGCUGGGUGAUGAAAUAAUCUGUAUACCAAACCUCUGUGGCAUGCAAUUUACCUAUAUAACAAACCUGCACAUAAACCCCUGAACCUAAAAUAAAAAUAAAAGCAAAUAAACAUAUCUAAACAUAGUAAAGAUACAGUAUUAUCAUAUUAUGGGAUCACCAUCAUAUAUGCAGUUCAUCAUUGAUCAAAAUGUCAUUAUGUGGCUCAUAUCUGUAUUAGAUUAUCUCUAUUUUCUCUGCUCAAAUGAAAGCAUGCUGUGCAAGUUUUUAUACUGUGUAUUUGGAAAAUUUGCCACGUUGAUUAGUAAAAUGUUGCCUCAUUCUUUUUGAUGACUCUAUAUUCCAUUGUUUGAAUGCAUCAUAAAUUAUGUAACUAUCCCUAUUAAUGGAUAUUAUUGCUUAAGAUAUGUUCUAUUAUGAAAGUGCUUAGGAGAGUUUAGAAAUGACAAGAAUGACAUGGAACAUGAAGAAGAGGUUAUGUAAUAAGAAAUAAACAUCAGAUUGGCCUGCAAUAUCUUCUUUGCAACACUGAAUUCCAGAAGGCAGUGAGGCAAUGUUUGCUGUAUGUUAAUGGAAAGGAUGUAACCUCACAUUUUAUAUAUAGUAAAUUGUUCAAACACGUACACUAUAAAGGUAUAAUGCCCAUGAAAAGAACAAUUCUCGGAAACAUGUUAAUAGCUGUGUUUUAUUUUCCAAAGGUUCCUGCAAUAAUAUUGCCCCUUGAGUAUGGGUGGGCUUGUGACCUGCUCAGUGCUAAGGAAAUGCAGUGGAAAUGAUGCUGUGUAACUUCUGAGGCCAAGUUAUAAAAGAUCAUGCAUCUUUUGCCUUGUUAGAAAAGUUUGCUGACGCCUGAUAUGGAGCACUAGAAAGAAAUUAUUUUUCCAAGCAUCAACCCGGAAGUCCCAGCAUACCGAGGGUGGCAGACAUCAUUUCUUCAAUGAACUUAGUAUUUAGAAAGAUAUCUUCACUCCAAGCAUCAAGUCUUUUCUGUCCUGCAAAAGUCUUAAGUCAAACCAGAAUCCACUAGUAGAGGGCACCUUUGGAUUCAACAGUAAAAGGAGAAUCUACAAAACCAGCUCAUCAAAAGGAUAUUGAAUGAAGCUAUGAUACCUGUAGCAGUUACUGCCAUUUUGGACCCAUAAACUGACAAUCCUUAAACAUUACCAGGAGGGCAGAGCGGAAAGAACAUUGAUGUCAUCACUGAGUUGCUGGAUUACCUUACUCUAGAAAUAGCCAACUCUGCAUGUUUGGUUAUUUUUUUAAAAAGUCUUCUUUAUUAUUUACAUCAUUUUGAAUGGGCUCUAACUCUAGCUCUUAUAGUAAAAAGCAUUUGAACUGAUACAAAUAAUUAUCUCCAUAUGGUUAUUUUGAGAAUUAAAUGAGAUAACACAUAAAAUGUAUGCUUGGGACAACGUCAUACAUAACACUCAAGAGUACAUAUUGUUAGUAUUAUUGAUGUUGUUGAUGUUAAAGCUGUUACUUCCUGCAAUGAUCUUGCAAUGCAUCAGGUUUUGACUUUAGUUUUGGGCAAAAUUAUGAGGCUUGAUUAGGAAAACAUGAUGAAAAUUUUAUUUCCUACAGCCCAUUUUCUUCUUUCAGCAUGUCUUUUACUUACUUUCAUGCCCCUUUGAGUCUCCCCAAUCAUCUAGAAAGGGGAUCUACUAGUGAUGGCAACAAAGGAGCAUGGACUGCUUAAUAAGGCAAUUUUUAACCCAAAAGAAUAAAUCCCAGCGUUAGAAUUCCAAACACAAUAUCAAGUUGUGGGUAAGAAUUUGGAGUAAGCAGGACUUCUCUACAUCUCCAAAAUGUUAUCACACAAGCCUCUACCUGUAUGUAAAGCCAAACUUUCCAGUAUACAAUUGGGCACUAAAUUCCAGAUAGUUUUUUUUAUCUGGUCAUGGCCUUGUAAGAAAAGAAUUCUCCUUUCCUGUUUAAUGUUAACAUUUAAUAACUAUCAGGUGGUGACCUGGGCACUGCAGAUCAUUAUCUGUUGUCAGUGACAGUGCUGUUCAUUUUCAAACCAGUAAGAGAAGUUUUUUUUUCCUUUUCGUAUCCGUAAAAUUUGUGAGGGAUUUAAAACUUGAAAAAUGUGGGUUUUUCUUGCAUUUCCAAUGGACUAGGUCUUUACAAUCAUUAACUGUUUUAAAGUUGAGAAGAGCUGCUAAAUUCUUCCGAGCGUGAAAAAAGAUGGGCAUGUGCUGUAAAUUGACAUAAAAAAAGUGGCAGCUUUGAAAGUUUGCAAGAUCAUUUUUACCAGAGCUUAUAUUUGGUAUGAGAUAUCAGUAAAGCAGUUUUUUUUUGUUUUUUUUUUGUUUGUUUGUUUUUGAGAUGGAGUCUCACUCUGUUGCCCAGGCUGGAGUGCAGAGGUGCCAUCUUGGCUCACUGCAACUUCUAUCUCCUGGGUUCAAGCAAUUCUCCUGCCUCAGCCUCCCGAGUAGCUGGGAUUACAGGUGCGUGCCUCCAUGCCCGGCUAAUUUUUUGUACUUUUAGUAGAGACGAGGUUUCACCAUGUUGGCCAGGAUGGUUUUGUUCUCCUGACUUUGUGAUCCGCCCACCUCGGCCUCCCAAAGUGGAGGGAUUACAGGGGUGAGCCACUGCACCCAGCUGUAAAGCAGAUUAUUAGGAGGAAUAGUUAACUAGGAAAAAAAGGACAAACAUCACAUUUCACUUCUAUCUGCCCUUAAGAAAUAUGACAAUAAUCUGAAAAAUUGUCUAAAAUACCUAGAAUGCCUUGAGAUCAAUUUGAUGACUUAUCUGUUAGACAACUAUACAGAAGGCAGAUCUCUUCAUUGCAAUGCCCCCAAGAAGGCCUUAAAGGGACUGUUUUCUCCGCUAUGUUCUAUCUAUCCUCACAGGUAGGACCAGCUAUACAAUUUUAUUAAGAAUUUUAAGACAAUGAUAAUAGAGCAUUAAUCCAGCACAGGACCCUUCUGACCUGAUUCUGUGCUACUACACAGGAUGUCUAUCUGUGAAGCUGGCCCUGCUGGAAGGGUCUGAUUUUACUCAUCUCUCUGCUCCUUUAGUGCUGGGUAAGUGAAGCAGAGGAAAGAGAAUGUAGAGAGACAGACAUGAUUGAAAACUUGGCUUUUUUUCUUUUUAAAUGUGUGGAUGUGAGUGGGUGAGUUAAAGUCUUUGUCUGUUGCAUGACACUGUUCAGAAAGUCUAAUGCUGCAUCUUGCACAAGAGGGUCUCAGUAAAUGGUUCAGGAGACUUUGGGUUUGAAUUCUAUAAAAACCUAGUCUGUUGUCCAGGUGACUAUGGCUCUAUUUGAGUGAGUGCUAGGUCAUGGUUUUAUGGGCUUUAUUUCAUUCUAUAGCAUACAUCCUAAUGUUAGCUUAUAAAUACAAUCAUGCAUUGCUUAAUAAUGGAGAUACAUUCUGAGAAAUACAUCAUUAGACAAUUUCAUCCUGUGGGAACAUCAUAAAGUAUACGUAUGCAAACCUAGAUGAUACGGGCUACUACACAGCUGAGUUAUAAGGUAUCACCUAUUGCUCCUAGGCUAUAAACCUGUGCUGCAAACCUGUACAGCAUGUUACUCUACUGAACAUUGUAGGCGACCGUAACACAGUGGUAAGUGUUGUGUGUCUAAACAUAUCUAAACAGAAAAGGUACAAUAAAAAUAUAGUAUAAAAAGUUUUUAAACUUGUGCACCCAUACAGAGCACUUACCAUGAAAAAAAAAGCUUUCAGGGCUGGGAGUUGUUCUGAUGAGUCAGUGAGUGUGUGUUGAGUGAAUGUGAAGGUCUAGGAUAUUACUGUACACUACUGUGGAAUUUUUAUACACCAUACACUUAGGCUACAUUGAAUUUAUAAAAAAAAAAAAAAGUAAUUAUGCCUCAGCAUUACAGUGGCUAUGAUGUCACUAUGCAAUGGGAAUUUUUCAGCUUCAUUAUAAUCUUAUGGGAUCACCAUCAUAUAUGCAGUCCAUCCUUGACUGAACCAUCGUUAUGUGUCACAUGACUGUGUACGAGUUUGGUCACAAGAAAAGCUGAUUGAGAAGUCCUGGAGUGGCUAAAUCCACUCUCAUCACAUAAAAACUAAUUCAGAAGGUUUGGCAGUAUUGUAUCUCUAUAUAGUAGGUGGCAUAUUGUUAUCAUUACAAAUAAUGGAAGAUUUUCUCCUUUCUUUUACUGUUUUAUAUUGCUUAACAUAUUCCAGAUAGGUAAUGGCAUUUAUGUCUUUUACUUUUUUGCUUUGAAUUGACAAUCGUAAUAUGUCUCUAAUCUAAAAGCCAAUGUCUAAAUUCCAAAUAACAUAGAAAUAAGGUGCUUCUUUGGAAAUCCUCAGUUAAAAUAAACUAAAAUAUCCUUUGUUUGAACUUCAUAUCUAAUGUUGGAAAAGUGGUUACCUCACCGAUCUGCUUCUAGUACUCACAUUUCUUUUCUUUUCUUUUUUCUUUUUCUUUUUUUCUUUUCUUUUUUUUUUUUUUGAGACAGAAUCUCGCUUAGUUGCCCAGGCUGGAGUGCAGUGGCUGGCGCGAUCUCAGCUCACUGCAAGCUCCGCCUCCCAGGUUCAAGUGAUUCUCCUGCCCCAGCCUCACGAGUAGCUGGGACUACAGGCAUAUGCCACCACAUUGAGCUAAUUUUUGUAUUUUUAGUAGAGAUGGGUUUUCACCAUGUUGGCCAGGAUGGUCUCGAUAUCUUGACCUCGUGAUCUGCCCUCCUCGGCCUCCCAAAGUGCUGGGAUUACAGGCGUAAGCAUCCAUGUGAGUACUAGGCUGGGUACUAGGCACCCAGCCUAGUACUCACAUUUCUAAGAAUAGACGUAAUGAAAACUAAAUAGGUGACCAAGAGAGAAAUAGAUUACACUCAUUAUUAAUUAUUCUAUAGCUGCAUGACAUGUUGAAGAAAGCUUUAGAUCAACAGUAAAAUUAGUUAAAUUAUCUGCCCUGAUUUCUUGUUACCCUGUAUUUAAGAUUUUUGCCCAUCCUUGGACAAAGUUGCCAUUGGAAAAAAGGAAAUGUCCCUUUGGACUUGGAUUUAGUCCUAAGAUAUUCUUCAAAUGUUGACUGACACCUGAAAACACACAUGGUUUUUGGAAUACCAUCUUUAAACAAGUGAAGAUAUUGAAGCCUAGAGAUAUGAAAUAAGUAUGCUGCCUAGUGUUAGGCACUUAAGCACGAUGAUGUUUCCAUGUUCACAGGAAAUGGAAAGAUUGUCUCACUGAAUAAAUGUUUGUUUCUCUUGGCGAAUAAGGAUCUGACCAGUGUAUUACUUGAUUGUAUUUAUUUUAUGUCCUUCUGUAGUUGUCUCUAUCAGUGUGUGGUUAGAUUUUUAACUCCCAAAUGGUGAAGCUGGUGCUUAGUGUCAUCUAAUAAUGUCUUUAAAUCCCUCUUUAAAUCUGGAGACCAGGACAUGCCUGGCUUGUUAUCAUUAUUAGGAAUCCAUUUUAAGAUUCAGGUUUCAUGUGAUACACAUGAAACACGAAGCCAGCCAGAAGCCACACUUGUAUUGGUUGUUUCCAUACCUUGCCUUUGACAAUGGCAUCAACUCUCACAAUUAGCAAUGUGGGAAUCAUAAGUGGAUGAAGGGGAUUGAUGACAUAGUACAGAAUAAAUGAUAUCCUCACAUAGGCCUUUCCUAAGAAGUAUUAACUGUAGGCAGCCACCACUCUAUCUGGAGGAAAAUGGAUCACCACACUGAUAAGCUUGAGACCUUCAAAAAUAAUCAUAAAUAUAAAGCCUACAAGGAAAAAUUAAUACAAUCAAAUAAACUUCAAAAGCUUAAAAAGUUUGCUUUCCUCCUCCCCAGCUUUAAUUUCUAUCAAAGCUAUGCUGUGAAAGCGUCAAAAAACUAAAACUCUACUAUGUUUAAAAUAUGUAAGAAACUGGCUGAUGAGAGAUUAUGGUGAAUGAGGUCUGAGAUGUUGCUGAAUCUCUGUGUGGCUGCCUUUGGCUUGAAAAUAAGAGCCUUUGUUUGCAGCCAUCACUAUUUUUGUUCCGUGGUGACAAAGUAGCAGUUUCAGAUAAAUGGCUGUGGGAAUAGAGAUGUGCCAGAAUUAGGGGAAGAAGUACUGCAUAGAUGAGAUUCACAGUAUAACACAGAAAGCAGCAGUGAUGUCACACAACAGUUCAGAGUUUGGAAUCAAUCAAACACAGGCAUAAUCCAGGCUCAGUCCUAGGUACAUUUCAGUAAGUUGUUCACUACAUCUGAACCUUAACUUCAUCAUCUCAUAAACAGGACUUAAACAAUCUACCUACCUACCUACCACGAUGGAUUGAAAUUGAAAUGGAGUGAUUUAAAGCACCAGAUCCAGGCUCAUAAUGGCCCUGGCACUUGCCAACCACAUAACCACGGGCAAGUUCCUGAGUCUAUGGACCUCAGUUUCCUCACUCGUACAAGGCAGGGAAUGCCAUCUACCUUGCAAAGUUGAUUUGACAAUUAAAGCUCCUGGAACAUAAUAAUUAAUAAAUGUUAGUUAUUCACAUUCAACAAAUACAUAGUGUGUGCCUACUAUUUGUGGGGCACUGCCCAAACUACUAAUGAAACUAAUGCACACAAAGUGCCUUGAGCAUAGAAGACACUCAAGAAAUAUUUGAUGAAUAAGAGGAAAGGCAAGCUUCUUGGUGUGUCCCUGAGAUUUGGUUAGGCUUCAGAUAUCCAAUCCAGUAUUCUUUAGGUGUCACUGGACAAAUGACUGGUUUUUGCUGGCAUUGCUAAUUCACAGAAAGUAGAGUCCAAAGUAUCCCUUUACCUAACAAUAAGACUCACAGGAAGAAAGGAAUGAUUCAUUGUACUUUUCUUUCUCUGAGGUAUAUUCUAUUGUCCUGAGGGGCAACAAGAAUCAGGUCAGCCAGAGGAGAAGACAAAAAAAUUAUCACAGAUUUUUUUUAAGAAGGCACUUAAAAUGGAAAAUGAAAUACAUAUUUUUCAAAAUUAAAAGCCAAUAUCUUUAUAUUGAGGUAACUAUGAGAUUAGUGAUUAUGAAAACCUUCAAUAAACGGUAAGCAGUAUUUGAUGUAUUCAUGCAUUUUUGCAGGGGAGAAAGAGGUGAUAGGUUUUAUAAAGUUUUAGAGGAAAUUGCUAUUCAUAAAAGGAUUAAGACCUACUGGAGAAUGAGUAUUGGAGAAAUAAAAUUAGGAGAUUAAAAUGAUUUUGAGGCCAAAGAUUAGAUGUAUGGAAUGUAAAUGUAAAUAUAAAGAAGGGUCUGAGUCAGAAAUAAGUGAUCAAGCUAGUUAGUUUCCAAAAGGGAUAAAAAAAUCUACCUUAGGGAAAGCAUUCUCUGCAUAAUUGGUGUCAAGAUGCAAUGAAGUCUGCUGAUCCACACAUCUCCCGAUUAAUUAGGGACUUGGAAGGUUUUUGAGAGAUCAAAAAUAUGCAUUAUGAAAACACAUUCUCAACAACAGUUUCAAUCUGUUGAUAAUUUUCAUAGAUUAAUUUGCUUGAAAUAUGAAACUCUAAAAACAGUAGACUUUGAAAUCAACAACAAAAAGAAAAAAUUGAUGUCACCUGAGUUGAGUAUUCAGUGCUGCUUUAAUGCUUUUUAAAACAAAGUAUGCCAACAUCCAUAGUGCAUAAACAAAGUAGAGUGACAUGGGUGCAUUAGCAUUUAAUGAAAACAAAUGCCAGGAAACACCCUUGAAAUUUCAAGGCAUUUUGUAAGAAUAGGCAUUAGGGAGGAUCUGAUGGGGUUAGAAUGGAUUGGUGUUUCAGAACAUUCUCUCUAUUGUUAAUGAAUGCGUGAAUCAGCCACUUAACUUCUAUUCUAUCUGAAACAUGGGGAAUUCCCCGGAAAAGAUUUCUUAAUACUCUAUCCUGAGCAACAGAGAACAUCUCAUGCUUUGCUCCAUUUCUCAAUUUACAUUUUUUUUUAAGUAGGAGUGGUAUAAGAUAAUGAUCAGGGAUGGGGGCAGAGAAUGGGCAUUAAAUUUGGUUUGUAGACUUAGUGUUUUCAAAUCCUGGAUUGUUUAAUAAUUUUAAAAACAGACAGAAAGUAAACCAAAUAUCUGAAAAUACAAAAUUAUUUUAAUAAUUAUUAUGUGUGCUUGUAUUUACAGACAUCUAGGUCUGUGUAAACUUUGACCUCUCACCCGUUUCUGAAUAUGUAUUUAUUCCGUCUUGAUUUCUCCUAGCAUCCAUUUCUCCUUCUAGGAGUAUCUCUCAGAUCUUUCUAAUAGAAUUAUCCCCACCUAGCUCAUCACAUAUUAGAUUAAGGUAGCACUAAUCCCCCAUCCCCAGCCUAACCAAAUUCCAGGGGGUUAUGACUUAGGUUAUGCAAUAAGAGUAUUUUGUCAUCUUGGCUGCAGUGACUGGCUCAGGGCCAGGCUUGUCCCAAGUCAGGCAAAUGAGACUCAAUCCCAAGAUGUAAGUGCCUGAAUUCUGUAGGGUUGCUGAGUUGGCAGGACAUGAAUCUGGACCUUCAAGGCCCCACUCUAGAGGACAGCCUUCUGAGAAUGAAGACAGAGAAUCACAGUGGCAUUUGGGCAUUUGCCUCCAACCAUAUCUGAAGCUAGAGAUACCCCUAAACUUUUUGACAUCUGAAUCAAUACUUUCCUUGUUCUUCCUUUUAGGGGCUAAGAGGUAGGAAAAGGAGGAGGUUUUUCUUGUAAAUCCAGUUUAGAUUUAGUUUAAUAAGUUUCUCCAAAGAAUGUAUACAAGAACACUCUCUAUUCUCUUUGCCUGGAAAACCUUCUUGUCUUCUCUUUACCUCCCAUAUGCUCAUUUUUUAAGGCCUAGCUCAAACCCCACUCCUUCCAGGAAGUCUUCCUUGAAUAUCCAGCCAGAUGAGCUCACCCUCCUUUGACCUCUUACAGCACUCAGUGUUUCUAUCCCUUAUCUGCCAGGAUUGUUGACCUUGUAGUGCUGGUUGUUGUUUUUUUUUUUUUUCAAGUGAUACUCUUAAUUCCUAAAAAGGUAAAGUCAGUCCUUAAAUGUUUUUAUUCUCCUCAGCCUUUGCCAAAGAAGGUUAUACACAGUAUGUGAGCAAUAUAUAUUUGUAGCUUUAAUUAAUGUGAUAAAAGUAGAUACAUUUUUUAUUCACUGUUGUCCAGGAUAAAACCUUGCAUAAAAUACAUGAUUGCAGUCAUAAGGAAGAUAAACAUCAGGGAUUGCAGCUUUCAGGAUGAUCCUAUCUCAUGUAAAAGGAAGGGCAAAUAGAGAGUAUUAGAAUUGUGACCUCAUGCGUAUUAUAUGGUGAACAUCUUUCAUUGCUAGGAGCAAAGAAGCUCAGUGUUAGUCUCUGCCAUUUAUCAUGUUUUACUCACAGUAUUCUCAACAUCAGAAGAGUCUUGGUCUUAUUAAACCAUAAUAUAUAUUUUAAUUAGGCAUUAAACUGAAACCUAUAAAUGAAAUAAAUCUCAGCUAUUAAAAUAUCUGAAUUCUCAGCACUCAACACCACCACACUUAAGAUCAUUUCAACAAAAUCACCAAACUUGCUUACCAGAAAGAAUGAUUGCCCAUGUCCUUACUUGAGCUCCCUGCUGCUGCAAUCUAUUUUUCUUGUUCAGUUCCCUGUUUUUCACCAGCCUCAUUCUACAGUCUGCCUGCCACUGGUUUAAAAACGUAUUCAAAUCAGUAGGCAAGCUGUAUUAGGAUCAUACUGUCCAGACUGUUCUAGCAAUGCUGAUGCAUUUAAUAUAAAUGCAUUGUGGACAUACUGUGUACAAUGCCUAAAGGAAGUCCGGCAGGUUGUAAACAAAGGUUCCACUCAAGAAAAAACUUAAGGCUUAACAGAGAAAAGAAACCUGAGCUCCAGUCUUUCUGAUGUAAGUGUAGGCAAAGUGAGUGUCCACGUUCCAGAAGUGUGAGUCUUCCCAGUCUCUCCCUGUCCACCCUCCAUCCUCCUACCACUCACAAACCUCCUCUUCCUUCCACUUUUGUGGGGCUGAGUUUAUCACAGAGCUGAAUGUGUCUAAAGAAUAGGAACCUGGGGGUAGUUAAAUGCAAUAACAAUUCUCCAAGUCUCACAGUAACUUAGAAGCCAAGGUUUCAAAAUCACAACUGUAUUUCUGGUCCCAGAUUCAGCCAUUAUCAGUCUUAUCACCAAUUAUAUUUUUCAUUGGGUAUGGGCAAAUUGUUUUCUGACAAGGUCAUUUCAAUAAAAUUGCUUUGAUUUUUUUUAAGUCUAUUGUCUCAAAUUCACAUUUCAUCAGUUUUGUCUCACAGAUAGGCUCAUGUAGCAUAAUUCCUUUUUUCAUCAUCUUCCAAAACUGAUCACUGCAAGAUUACUUUGUGAAUGUUUAUUUUCAUAUUCUCAUUGGUAACUGGUGGCACUUCAAGGUGAAGAAUGUGUUUUUCUUGGUCAUUACAUAUUUGACUAAUGCCAGAAAUUACUUCCAGUUGCUUACCUUGUUGCCUGAGAGAUUUAAGUUUGCUGCAUGAAAAUAGCAAUUUGAAAAGAUGAAAGUUUAACAAAUGCUAUAAAUAGCAACCAACGCUCUUGUCAUUAUCAUUAACUACAGCACCACGCCCACUUCCCUUUCUGUUGUCUGUCAUUAACUGUUAUAGCUGAAGUGAAACUUGUUUCUAGUACAAUCACUAGAAUGAACAAUGAAACCAUAAAGAGAUCAAAGGAUUAGUGAAAUAAUUUGUUCUCUUUCAUGCACGGAAAAUGAACCUGACUUUCAGGGAUUCAUACUGACCAAAGCUCCUUUUGAGUUCCAAAGUUUGCUGCCCAUUUCCUCUUCCACUUCCCUAUAAGGAAUGUCUCAAUUGCUCAGUUUAUGAAAUGUUGUAAAAAGAAGAAUGCUUAUGGUAAGAAAUUACUUCCUUAGGUGUCUGAAUGGGUAAUAUUUUCUAUACUUACUCUACAAAUCAUAAAACUAAGUCUUGUUGAAUAUCCAUACAGCACACAUUAACCAUUUCUAAAGUAGUUUCUUUUUACCAAUCUUGGAAAUGUAUUUAUACAAGUGCUAGAUUUGCAGGUGCUAUUACCAGUAGUUAAAUAUUUUUAGAGUUGAAAUGUUCCAAGCCAAAAAGGAUUUGGUUCUUCCCCAAAGCAAAACACAUAAUUGGAGAAUUGUGGCAAUGGUAGAUAGAGAUGUUGCCUUAUAAAAUCUUCUGUAAUAUGUGGCUAUUUAUUUGGCAUAUAUUUUCAUUAUGAAAAAAAUGAAUGCAGAAGAUUAUGGGGAACAAUAUAACAAACAUCCAUGUAGUCAUGACUGAGAAUUAAUGAUGUUAACAAAUAUUAUGUGGAAGCUAAAAUAAAGUUGAUCUCAUAUAAGAAAAAAGUAGAACAGAGAAUACUAGAGGCUGGGAAGGGUAUGAGAAAGAUAGGGAUGGGGGAAGAUUUGUUAAAGGAUACAAAAUUACAGCUAGAAAGGAGAAAUAAAUUCUAGUUUCUAUACCACUGUAGAAUGACCAUAAUUAACAACAAUAUACUCUAUAGUUUCAAAUAGCUAGAAGGAAGAUACUGAAUGUUCCCAGCACAAAGAAGUGAUACAUGUUUAAGAUGAUGGAUAUGCCAAUUACUCUGAUCUGAUCACUAUAUAUUACAUGUCUCAAAAUAUCACCAUGUACUCCAUAAAUAUGUACAAUUAUGUCAAUUAUUAAAAUUUAAUUUAAUUUUAAAAAAUUAACAUUUUGUCCUACUUAUUUCGAAAUUUUUCUUCCUUCCUUUUAAAAUAAAUUAGACAUAAAAAACAGCUAUAACGCCCUUCACAGCACUUGAUUUUGCCCUUUCUUUUCUGCUAAUGUUUUCAUGUGCUAGUUUAAUUAUUCAUCUUUAUGGUAAGUGUUUGAAAACAAAAGCUUGCUUGCCUUUGUUUCUUGUGCUAGUGACUAGCACAAUUUCUGUAGCAUAAUAGAUAAAUGCUUG